AUGCAAGUGUAAGUUCACGCCACGCUUUAGAACGGGCGAAACCGCGAAUGGCUCAGGAACCGGACCUAAUCCUCGGGACCGUAAUCCUCCUCGGAGGCGUUGGAUAACUGUGGCAAUUCUAGAGCUAAUACAUGUGACACAGGCCGCGAUCGGCCGUCGCGCCGUGGUCGCCUCGCCUCGCGCGCUGGCACCCGCGGCGGCCGUCUUGGGUCGCGGCGCUACAUAUUAGACUGAGACCGAUGCGCGAUUCCCGGCCUCCCGUCGCCUCCGGGCUUCGGGAUCAAGGUCGGCGCGCUCCGCUUUGGUGACUCUGGAUAACUCACUGGUCGAUCGCACGGGCUCCACGCCCGGCGACGGGUCCCCCGAGGGUCCGCCCUAUCAACUGUCGACGGUCGGUUAAGUGCCUACCGUGGUUACUACGGGUAACGGGGAAUCGGGGUUCGAUUCCGGAGAGGGAGCAUGCGAAACGGCUACCACA
rnacentral:rRNA from 1 species